GCGCGGGUGGCGAAAUUGGUAGACGCACCAUCUUGAGGGGGAGGCGCCCGCAGGGCGUGUGAGUUCGAAUCUCAUUCCGCGCACAA
rnacentral:tRNA from 1 species